UGAAAAGCCCAAAAAUGUCUUUGACAAAUUAAUCUAGCAUUGGUGUCGGGAACUAUAGGCCAUUUUUUAACUUAUAAUCUUUACAGAGGUCUUUAUAUAAUUAUUUAAAUGGUAUUGAGACUUGACCACCCUUCUGAAAGGACAACAGUUCAGCCUCAGGCCAACCUGAUUACAAAAUAUAGAGGCCCUAUAUUAUGGAACUAUCGAAACCACAAGACAACAGCAAUACAAAACAAAGCCGAUAACACUAUGACCAAAACUAGGCUGUUAAAGGGGUUCAUUAUUAUCACACGUUAUCAUUCAACCAACAAAGAUCACUGCAAAAAUAGCCUACAACAACGACAAGUAAAUUUAAGUAACUUAACGUGAAAGAAAUUCAGAAAAAGGAAAAUAUCCAAGCAACAGCUUUAGUCUCUCUCCCGGCUGCAGGUGAAGUACUGAGAGUAAGUGCUGGUGUACAUCGUCUGGUUGUCCACCCUGACUACAUUCCUGAGGUUCUGCCAAAACCAGGGCUCAGCGGCCGCAGUCCUGGGCCACUCCACAACACUCUCCCCGCACAGCCUCCUCCUCAGACGCAGGAAGUGGGAGUUCUGCAGGACAGGCUCCAACAUCAGCACCACGAUCACGUCCAGGUUCUCAUCCAGCAGCCGCUGGUGGGCCAGGUACAAGGCCAAGCGGAACAACCCUGUCUUGGCGUACGCCUUGGUCAGCACAAACAGGGUCUUGCGGCUGUAGCGAAUGCUCUGGGUGAGGUUGUCGAUCACCGGGACGCCGAGGGGCCAGUCCCGCUCCUCUAGACACAAGGGCAACACCUUCUCCCCCUCCACCUCCAGCUUCACCCUCAGCGUCUCCAGCACCCACUCCGAGACCCAGGGGUCUUUGGUGUCAUAGGUCACGAAGACGUUGUACAUAUUGUCUGGCGAGGCCGAAGAGCGAUAGCCCUUCCAUUUGGCCUUCAGGUAAUACAGGACGUAGGAGGCCGUCCCAGUAGAAGAUGUGUGCCACCGUUGCCAUAACGUGGUGAAAAAGAGGAAGGUAGUUGUGAGAACUGAGAUCAGCAGUGCCAGACUGUUGUUGACACACUGGUCAAACUCAAAGUAAAUCAUCACCUGAGGGAUGGCCGUAGGAUACGAAGCAGUAGA
rnacentral:lncRNA from 1 species